rnacentral:rRNA from 1 species
GAUGAACGCUAGCUACAGGCUUAACACAUGCAAGUCGAGGGGCAGCAUGGUCUUAGCUUGCUAAGGCCGAUGGCGACCGGCGCACGGGUGAGUAACACGUAUCCAACCUGCCGUCUACUCUUGGACAGCCUUCUGAAAGGAAGAUUAAUACAAGAUGGCAUCAUGAGUCCACAUGUUCACAUGAUUAAAGGUAUUCCGGUAGACGAUGGGGAUGCGUUCCAUUAGAUAGUAGGCGGGGUAACGGCCCACCUAGUCUUCGAUGGAUAGGGGUUCUGAGAGGAAGGUCCCCCACAUUGGAACUGAGACACGGUCCAAACUCCUACGGGAGGCAGCAGUGAGGAAUAUUGGUCAAUGGGCGAGAGCCUGAACCAGCCAAGUAGCGUGAAGGAUGACUGCCCUAUGGGUUGUAAACUUCUUUUAUAAAGGAAUAAAGUCGGGUAUGCAUACCCGUUUGCAUGUACUUUAUGAAUAAGGAUCGGCUAACUCCGUGCCAGCAGCCGCGGUAAUACGGAGGAUCCGAGCGUUAUCCGGAUUUAUUGGGUUUAAAGGGAGCGUAGAUGGAUGUUUAAGUCAGUUGUGAAAGUUUGCGGCUCAACCGUAAAAUUGCAGUUGAUACUGGAUAUCUUGAGUGCAGUUGAGGCAGGCGGAAUUCGUGGUGUAGCGGUGAAAUGCUUAGAUAUCACGAAGAACUCCGAUUGCGAAGGCAGCCUGCUAAGCUGCAACUGACAUUGAGGCUCGAAAGUGUGGGUAUCAAACAGGAUUAGAUACCCUGGUAGUCCACACGGUAAACGAUGAAUACUCGCUGUUUGCGAUAUACGGCAAGCGGCCAAGCGAAAGCGUUAAGUAUUCCACCUGGGGAGUACGCCGGCAACGGUGAAACUCAAAGGAAUUGACGGGGGCCCGCACAAGCGGAGGAACAUGUGGUUUAAUUCGAUGAUACGCGAGGAACCUUACCCGGGCUUAAAUUGCAGAUGAAUUACGGUGAAAGCCGUAAGCCGCAAGGCAUCUGUGAAGGUGCUGCAUGGUUGUCGUCAGCUCGUGCCGUGAGGUGUCGGCUUAAGUGCCAUAACGAGCGCAACCCUUGUUGUCAGUUACUAACAGGUCCCGCUGAGGACUCUGACAAGACUGCCAUCGUAAGAUGUGAGGAAGGUGGGGAUGACGUCAAAUCAGCACGGCCCUUACGUCCGGGGCUACACACGUGUUACAAUGGGGGGUACAGAGGGCCGCUACCACGCGAGUGGAUGCCAAUCCCCAAAACCUCUCUCAGUUCGGACUGGAGUCUGCAACCCGACUCCACGAAGCUGGAUUCGCUAGUAAUCGCGCAUCAGCCACGGCGCGGUGAAUACGUUCCCGGGCCU